rnacentral:rRNA from 1 species
UACGUAGGGGGCAAGCGUUGUCCGGAUUUAUUGGGCGUAAAGAGCGUGUAGGCGGCCAGAUAGGUCUGGUGUGAAAACUCGAGGCUUAACCUCGAGAUGUCAUCGGAAACCAUCUGGCUAGAGUCCGGAAGAGGAGAGUGGAAUUCCUGGUGUAGCGGUGAAAUGCGCAGAUAUCAGGAAGAACACCAAUGGCGAAAGCAGCUCUCUGGGACGGUACUGACGCUGAGACGCGAAAGCGUGGGGAGCGAACAGG